UUUGCCAACUCUUCUGCGAGUGUAAUGGCUGGCGUGAAGCUGCCACUCGCAAAUCGUCGGAAAUCUAUCGCCUGAGGACGGCUUGGUGGAAGAAUAACUGUGUUUACGCCCUGUUCCCGUCUUGUUGACCAUUUAUGAAGACACCUUUCUGACAGAGGAGCACUUAAGGCCGGAGGAAGGAGGACUUUUCCUAUGGGAGUGAACGAUAAGAAAAUCCGCAGGAGAUGCCAGGGAACCCAGCUUCACUUAGCAGGAAUCCAGUCAUAAAGCAAAGCACUGGGCAGACUGAGUGUGGAUCAACCAUCAGAUAGACUGCUAGCAUUGCUAUAAGUAUUCUAUGCAAUGUAUUACAUAUUUCUAUUGAUUAAAGUUUGGUACUAUUGGAUUAAAUA